GACCUACUCACCCGUUCCCGGGUCCUGC
rnacentral:sRNA from 1 species